rnacentral:rRNA from 1 species
AUUGAACGCUGGCGGCAGGCCUAACACAUGCAAGUCGAGCGGAUGAAGGGAGCUUGCUCCUGGAUUCAGCGGUGGACGGGUGAGUAAUGCCUAGGAAUCUGCCUGGUAGUGGGGGAUAACGUCCGGAAACGGGCGCUAAUACCGCAUACGUCCUGAGGGAGAAAGUGGGGGAUCUUCGGACCUCACGCUAUCAGAUGAGCCUAGGUCGGAUUAGCCAGUUGGUGGGGUAAAGGCCUACCAAGGCGACGAUCCGUAACUGGUCUGAGAGGAUGAUCAGUCACACUGGAACUGAGACACGGUCCAGACUCCUACGGGAGGCAGCAGUGGGGAAUAUUGGACAAUGGGCGAAAGCCUGAUCCAGCCAUGCCGCGUGUGUGAAGAAGGUCUUCGGAUUGUAAAGCACUUUAAGUUGGGAGGAAGGGCAGUAAGUUAAUACCUUGCUGUUUUGACGUUACCAACAGAAUAAGCACCGGCUAACUUCGUG